UACGGAGGGGGCUAGCGUUGUUCGGAUUUACUGGGCGUAAAGCGCGCGUAGGCGGCGCGUCAAGUCAGAUGUGAAAGGCCUGGGCUCAACCUAGGAACGGCCUUUGAUACUGACGUGCUUGAGUCCGGGAGAGGGUGACGGAAUUCCCAGUGUAGAGGUGAAAUUCGUAGAUAUUGGGAAGAACACCAGUGGCGAAGGCGGUCACCUGGCCCGGUACUGACGCUGAGGUGCGAAAGCGUGGGGAGCAAACAGG
rnacentral:misc_RNA from 1 species